AUCUACUGUCAUACCACCCUAAUAUCAGAAGCUUAAGCAGGGUUGAGCCAGGUCAAUACUUGGAUGGGAGACUGCCAGGGAAUACCUGGGGUGAUAGGCU
ensembl:rRNA 5S_rRNA 5S ribosomal RNA